rnacentral:rRNA from 1 species
AGGAUAAACGCUGGCGGCGUGCCUAACACAUGCAAGUCGAACGUCCUUAUGUUUCGCAAGAAGCACGAGGGAGUGGCGGACGGGUGAGGAACACGUGGGUGACCUACCUUACAGUGAGGGAUACCGGCGAGAAAUUGCCGACAAGACCGCAUACGGUUCUUUCUUCGAUGGGAGAACGAAAGCUUUAUCGUAAGAUGAGGUGCUGGAAGAUGGGCCCGCGGCCGAUUAGCUAGCUGGUGGGGUAAUGGCCUACCAGGGCAUCGAUCGGUAGCUGGUCUGAGAGGACGAUCAGCCACACUGGGAUUGAGAACGGCCCAGACUCCUACGGGGGGCAGCAGUGAGGAAUUUUCGGCAAUGGGGGCAACCCUGACCGAGCAACGCCGCGUGCAGGACGACGGCCUUCGGGUUGUAACUGCUUUUCUCUGGGACGAGAACGGACGGUACCAGAGGAGAAGCCCGGCUAACUACGUGCCAGCAGCCGCGGUA